UACAGAGGUCUCAAGCGUUGUUCGGGUUCAUUGGGCGUAAAGGGUGCGUAGGUGGCGCCGUAAGUCAGGUGUGAAAUUUCGGAGCUUAACUCCGAAACUGCAUUUGAUACUGCGGUGCUUGAGGACUGGAGAGGAGACUGGAAUUUACGGUGUAGCAGUGAAAUGCGUAGAGAUCGUAAGGAAGACCAGUGGCGAAGGCGGGUCUCUGGACAGUUCCUGACACUGAGGCACGAAGGCCAGGGGAGCAAACGGG
rnacentral:rRNA from 1 species